ACCACGGAGUCUAGCAUGUGCGCGAGUCAUUGGGACUCUAACGAAACCUAAAGGCGUAAUGAAAGUGAAGGUUCGCCACGCGCGAACCGAGGGAGGAUGGACGAUCGAUCGUGGUCGUCCCGCACUCCCUGGGCGUCUCGUUCUCAUCGCGAGAAGAGGCGCACCAAGAGCGUACACGCUGGGACCCGAAAGAUGGUGAACUAUGCCUGGUCAGGACGAAGUCAGGGGAAACCCUGAUGGAGGUCCGUAGCGAUUCUGACGUGCAAAUCGAUCGUCGGAACUGGGUAUAGGGGCGAAAGACUAAUCGAACCAUCUAGUAGCUGGUUCCCUCCGAAGUUUCCCUCAGGAUAGCUGGCGCUCGCUUCUCGCGAGUCUCAUUCGGUAAAGCGAAUGAUUAGAGGCAUUGGGGUCGAAACGGCCUCAACCUAUUCUCAAACUUUAAAUGGGUGAGAUCUCCGGCUUGCUUGAACUGUGAAGCCGCGAGAUAUCGGAUCAGAGUGCCAAGUGGGCCACUUUUGGUAAGCAGAACUGGCGCUGUGGGAUGAACCAAACGCCGAGUUAAAGCGCCUAAAUCGACGCUUAUGGGAUACCAUGAAAGGCGUUGGUAACUUAAGACAGCAGG
rnacentral:rRNA from 1 species